UACGAAGGGGGCUAGCGUUGCUCGGAAUCACUGGGCGUAAAGCGCACGUAGGCGGAUCGUUAAGUCGGGGGUGAAAUCCUGGAGCUCAACUCCAGAACUGCCUUCGAUACUGGCGAUCUUGGAGUCCGGGAGAGGUGAGUGGAACUCCGAGUGUAGAGGUGAAAUUCGUAGAUAUUCGGAAGAACACCAGUGGCGAAGGCGGCUCACUGGCCCGGUACUGACGCUGAGGUGCGAAGGCGUGGGGAGCAAACAGG
rnacentral:rRNA from 1 species